GGGUGGGGGUGGCUGAAGAGCCGUCACCAUCGCGCCGUGCCGGGGCACUGGCUGAGCGAGUCGGAGGCAAGAUCUCAUUCACUGAACGGUUGUUGGGGGUGCAGUACGUGCGGGGAGGUGGAGAGGUGGGGAGGUGGGCAGCGGACUAAACCAAGUUCGCCGUGCCAGCUCUUGCUUCCCGGUCUUCCUUCCCCGCAGCCGCCCCUCCUCUCCGGUCUUUGCGCCCCGGGGACGCGCCAGCCGGGCUUGGGCUCCCCGCGCGCACAGGCGGUCCGGAGGGUGGAGUCGGCCCGCGGUAGCCGCGUCUCCUCGGCGGGCAAAAGGCGGGGCAUGCAGAUUAGAAGCGGCUGUUCAGCGCGAGAACGACGGAGCAACCAGGGAUCCAGAAUUUCCCGUUAAAACUGUAGAGAAUGAAAAAUCUGCACAAGAGCCGACUGCCUAGCGAUUCCCACGGUGCUGUCAAAGGAGCAAAGGAAGGGAGACCCGGACUGAGCGGGCGGCGACUCGCCGUGAGCUGAAGGUUUUGAAGGUCUAAAUACGUGAAUCCGGCGACAUCCUCCAAAUGCCAUGAACUGCUCAUGGACCGUCAGGCCCAGCCCCGUGAAAUACUGCUUCCCGAUUGCAAAUGCAUCACUGAUAGGUUCUAGCUUAUCCCUACUUCUGGUUCUUCUUGCACUUACAUGGUCAAAACACAAUAGUCGAAGAAUUUUUUUAAACCCUUGGUCGCUCAUAAUUUUGUCGAAUUGCAAAUUCUGGACUUUGGGAAAAUUCAUCUAGGAUAUUGCCAUUUGAAGAUGUGCAGCCUGAGAUUUCACUUAUAUAUAAUCCCUGUCACCACCCUCAUUAGAGUCCAGUCCUUUGCUUUCAUCUUCUGAUUCGUCUAAUAGUCUAAUAAUUCAUCUGCUAGAAACACGCUCCUCUGUCAGUUUUCUUUCCUUUGCCAUUAUGGCCGGGGGUGGGGCAGAUUUCCGAAUUCUCGGCUGUGUUCAGAGAAAGCAAAAAUCAGACUACAAAGAGCUGUCUCCCAUCUGCUUGUUUACCUUCCUGAAAGAGGAUUUGAUCGAUACCUUUUCUUAGCGACACAAGAAGAAAACUGAAGGAUCACGCCAUAGGGACGACUCGCUCCACUGUUGCAUCAAUCCUGUAAGGGACUCCUUCAUUCCUCCAUUUCGUUAGUCUUGUAGACUUUUCCGUCAUAGUUGGGGGUUGGUGAAUAGCUACAGAAAAAAAAUAUUCCUAGGAUGAUGAAACAGUAAAUUUUUUCAAGAGAGAGGGAAACUAAGAUCGCUAAGAUCCUGUGAUGCAUCUUAGAUUUUGCGAGAGACAAAAGCAGCCCCGGGAGCUGGCCUGCCACCCACAGCUAGGCCGUGGUGGUCUCCCGGUGAAUGUAAACGAUCUCACAGAACGUCACCGUCACGCUAUGUGACCGUGAUGGAUCAACACAGAAAUAAGACCACUCCGUAGUCACGUCCGAACUCAGACAAAGAAGAAGAAUAUAGUGUCCAAACGAGAAAAUUGACCAAACACCCCCCCCCAUCCUCGAUGCUCUAAUAUGGGUAACUGCUGCUACUUUACCAGUUACAGCUUUGGCUAUGGCCCUAUUCUUCCCUCCUUCUGGGUAAGAUUUGUUCAGCUACCCAGUCACAGAAUUACCCCCAACUUCCUGAGAACAUCUGUAGGGGAGGAAAAAAGUCGUUUCCCUUCUACCCUUCUAUGUUCUCCACGGUUAGGGCUUUGUAACAAAAGACAGAUCAAUGAGAGAAAAAUAAACAGAAGUUUAUUAGCAUGUGUAUCUCAUAUAUACGUGGGAGCAACUCAGGGAUGAGUAACUCAAAGGGGUGGCUAGAACUUGGGUUUAUAUAGCUGAUAAAAGAAAGAGAAAAGAACGAGGCCAGAGUCGACGUGAUGAUUACCAUGACCGCCUCAAGGCUGAACUAUGGGCAGAAAUAGAAACCUACAUUUUAACCUUCACUGUCACCAGAUGGCCGGAGAACAACUCGGUAGUAUUUCCCUGCAGUUAGAACAUUUAGAAAGCCCCGGACACAAGAUAAACUGUAGCUGAAAAGGGUGACCAAUCAGAACUGGACUCAGCCUUAACCUUGCGUACUCUGCUCCUUUUACCUUUAAAACCUGGCCACCCCAAGACCGAGGCAGCACAGGUGUUAGCUCAGGGCUAAUCUUCCUCAGCAAAAAAUAAAAAAUAAAAGAUAAUUGUAUUUCCAACUUGGGGCAUGCCUUCCACAGUCUCCAGUGAUCAAGGCACCUGCGUCACUGAGCAAACCGUGCAAACUUUAAUGAAAAUCCUUUAAACUUCUUGGACUUUUAAACUUCUUGGCUCCUAUCAUCCUCAAUCAUCAGGCAAAGUUAAGAAAGUUAAUGGAAAAACUGGAUUCAAGCAGAAGAAAUCUUAAAUUGCAUGGGGCUAUGUGAAUUGAGGAAGACGUUCUAAUGUUUUGCUUUUCCAGAUUUAAAGAAAUCUUUUCUCUUAAGCUAAAUAUGACUUAUAGCAAUUUGUAAGCAGAAUUGAAGCGUUGAUCUUUUUCUCCCUACCUGAUCCCUCCAGAAUUUGGAAACUCUUGAUAAGUGAGUGUUCUUAUUUUUCAUGGCAAUAUGAUUGUUUGCAUAAGUUCGAAUAGAAUCUGUUCUCCUGAUAGCAGCACACGGCUGGAAACACUGGUUAUAUUACCAAGGCUUUGACUGGAAUGUCAUGUUAAACAAACAAACAAGAAACCCCCAAAACAUGCAUAGACUCGGAUAUGACCAAACAGCUUUAAGGAACAAGGAUUGACUUUAUGGAACAAAUAAAGCCACUUGGAAAUAUUGGCCUGGUACCUUGCUUAUAGGGUUCCCAGCAACCUUACCAGAACAACAGGAGGACUGCUGCUAAGAGAGCAACUUGCUGACAGCCUCCCUCACCUGACUAAGGAUUGCACAGCGGUGUCUGGACGCCACCCUGCCACUGGCAAGCCACAUGAUGCUGACUCAAGCCACCACCUACGUUCAGCCCAUGCUGCACUCUGAUGCCUCCUACACGGGACUGGAUGGGGCCCAAACAGCCGAGGGGGCACUUGGGCAUCAAGGGACCUGAAUACUCCCCAAAUUGAUCAAAGGUGUCGCCCUGGCAAACCUAUGAUUAAGAGGGGGAAAUGACAAAAGAAAGAGAUAAGAACGAGGCCAGAGUCAACGUGACCCCCUCAAGGCUGAACUAUGGGCAGAAAUAAAAGAUUACAUUUUAACCUCCACUGUCACCAGGACGGCCGGAGAACGAUGCGGUCGUUUUUCCCUGCAGUUAGAACACUUAGAAAGCCCCGGGCACAAGACAAACUGUAGCUGGAAAGGGUGGCCGAUCAGAGCGGGACUCAGCCCUAACGUUGCAUACUCUGCACAUUUUUGCCUUUCCAACCUGGCCACCCCGAGACCGGGGGGGUGGGAGGCGGGGGGUGCUCACCUAUCAACUUGCGAGUUGAGGCAUACUUCCCUGGUUUGCAAACGUUUAAUAAAGCUUCUGUUUUCUUUAAAACUUA